rnacentral:rRNA from 1 species
UACGUAGGGACCGAGCGUUGUCCGGAUUCAUUGGGCGUAAAGAGCUCGUAGGCGGCUGUUCAAGUCGAACGUGAAAACUCGGAGCUCAACUCCGAGCCUGCGUUCGAUACUGGACGGCUAGAGUCUGGUAGGGGGAUCUGGAAUUCCUGGUGUAGCGGUGGAAUGCGCAGAUAUCAGGAGGAACACCGGUGGCGAAGGCGGCUCUCUGGUCGACAUCUGACGCUGAGACGCGAAAGCGUGGGGAGCGAACGGG